GAUGAAGAACGUAGCGAAAUGCGAUAAGUAAUGUGAAUUGCAGAAUUCAGUGAAUCAUCGAAUCUUUGAACGCACAUUGCGCCCCUUGGCAUUCCGAGGGGCAUGCCUGUUCGAGCGUCAUUACACCACUCAAGCUAUGCUUGGUAUUGGGCGUCGUCCUUAGUUGGGCGCGCCUUAAAGACCUCGGCGAGGCCACUCCGGCUUUAGGCGUAGUAGAAUUUAUUCGAACGUCUGUCAAAGGAGAGGAACUCUGCCGACUGAAACCUUUAUUUUUCUAGGUUGACCUCGGAUCAGGUAGGGAUACCCGCUGAACUUAAGCAUAUCAAUAAGCGGAGGA
rnacentral:misc_RNA from 1 species